GACGAACGCUGGCGGCGCGCCUAACACAUGCAAGUCGAACGAGCGAGAGAGAGCUUGCUUUCUCAAGCGAGUGGCGAACGGGUGAGUAACGCGUGAGGAACCUGCCUCAAAGAGGGGGACAACAGUUGGAAACGACUGCUAAUACCGCAUAAGCCCACAGGUCGGCAUCGACCAGAGGGAAAAGGAGCCAUCCGCUUUGAGAUGGCCUCGCGUCCGAUUAGCUAGUUGGUGAGGUAACGGCCCACCAAGGCAACGAUCGGUAGCCGGACUGAGAGGUUGAACGGCCACAUUGGGACUGAGACACGGCCCAGACUCCUACGGGAGGCAGCAGUGGGGAAUAUUGCACAAUGGGGGAAACCCUGAUGCAGCGACGCCGCGUGGAGGAAGAAGGUCUUCGGAUUGUAAACUCCUGUUGUUGAGGAAGAUAAUGACGGUACUCAACAAGGAAGUGACGGCUAACUACGUG
rnacentral:rRNA from 1 species